rnacentral:lncRNA from 1 species
GGAGAUAAAGAGAAAUCUGUUUUAUAAUGUUCAGAGUAUCAUUAUUUUUGCUGAUGAAGCGCUGAUAAAAUUUGAUGCCUCAUCCACUGAAAACCAUGUGCUAAAUGAAACAACAUUAUCCAAAUCUUCUAAUUAUUUGUCAGUAAUUCAUUUCUAAAGACGAAGACAAAACGCUUAGAAAGACAGAGGAUGUGCUGAAGAAAAGAAUUUAAUUUUGAAUGUCUUACACUAACUAGCAUUUAAACGCAAAGAUGAAAGAGAGCGGAAUAGCAUUGUUACUGCAUACUUCCUGUUUUAGAGGCAAAACGAGACAGAAUUCUUAACGUUUACGAAACAAUAUAUGUAUGUUGUUUCAUAUCCUAUAACAGUAUUUGGCGCUGUUGAAGCUUGUAUAGCAAAUAAAAAAAAACAGAAAGACAUUUUGUCUUAUCAGUUGAUAA